rnacentral:rRNA from 1 species
UACGUAGGGUGCAAGCGUUGUCCGGAAUUAUUGGGCGUAAAGAGCUCGUAGGCGGUCUGUCGCGUCUGCUGUGAAAACUCAGGGCUUAACCCUGAGCUUGCAGUGGGUACGGGCGGACUAGAGUGCGGUAGGGGGAGAUUGGAAUUCCUGGUGUAGCGGUGGAAUGCGCAGAUAUCAGGAGGAACACCGAUGGCGAAGGCAGAUCUCUGGGCCGUAACUGACGCUGAGGAGCGAAAGCAUGGGGAGCGAACAGG